GGUGCUGCCGCUUCAGGGCCUGGGGCGAUUGGCCAUGUUCUGUGUCUAGAGGUGGCACCUGGGGCUCUGUCUACUUUGGUCCCCUGUAUGGGGCACUGAAUGGGGGCCAGGCUAGCCCCUGUCAGCUGUGUGCUCUGAAGGAUUUCAACUGUUCUAUAUGCCAAGGAAGAACCCAGAAGUCCACAGGGUCUCACUAUGUAGCCCAGGCUGAUCUCAAAUUCAGAGAAGCCACCUGGGAUUAAAGUUGUGUACCACCUGGCAAAGAUGGUCUUGAAAGAGAAGUUCCUCUUCUCCUCCUCGCAGCCGCCACCUCACUCACUGCUCUGGUUCUGAUGCUGCUGGUGUCUCCACAUCAAUGGCAGCCUCGCGCCAUCUUCUGUUUGUCCAGCACUGGGUUCCUCCUCAAGAUUCUUCUCUGCUGUUUGCCACAGUCUCAGCAGCUAUUAGAUGUUCCUUCUUCAGUCUGUGGGGUCGUGCUCCCAAAUUCAGCCAUUAAGAUGAUCAGGCUAGACCCGAUGGCCCUUGGUACAGUGACAGCAGCCCAGGGGGAAUCCCGUGCCAUCAUUCCAUGCCAUGACUAUGCCCGACAAACAGAACAGUGUGUCCUCACUCCACUGAAAUUUCUGUAUCCAAAUUAAACCUCUGUUCCAUUCUGUUUAAGUUUUGAUCAGUAAAGCAAAUCAUUAAAAUGUAAUCUCUUCUGGCA